rnacentral:tRNA from 2 species
GCGCCCGUAGCUCAGUCCGGAUAGAGCGUUAGCCUCCGGAGCUAAAGGUCCCGCGUUCGAAUCGCGGCGGGCGCACCA